CUGUUUUAUUCCAAUUUUGGCACUCAUUUUCUAAUUUUGCCACCAUUUCGCUUUCGCUUUUUGCCCUCCAAAUAGGGCGUGUCCAAGGUGAGUUUAUACUGACCGGCCUCGGGUGAUUUCUAACGGCAUUCCUGCACCUGUUUGACCUCAUACAAAAUUUGAAAAAAUUGAAAACGACCAAGGGGAAGAGUCACGUCAUACAAAGUUGGCUGCUAAUCACUCCCCUACGCUCUCUAAUGCUGAAAUUGAAUUGACUUGAUUCCUUGAUUCAUUUGUUUCUAUAGCUCCCUGUUUCCCCCUUGGCGCAUUGGCACCCGUCAUAGAGUAAGUGGCAACUCUCAAGUGACCGGGUGGAUCCAGCCUUAGAGGAUUUUGGCGCAACACAAAGUCAGGCGUGAUCACGUAAUCGUCGGCUGAUCAGUCGGUUGGAACUUGGAAGGCGAACAACAACAAGGUUGAACUUGGCAACUGGAUCUCGAAAGUCUAUCCAGCCCUUGACUGAUAUAGUGACAUGGAUGCUGCAACAACCUGGACGACCCGUUUA